UUUUUUUUUUUUUUUUUUUGGUAAGAGGGCGGGCGUAGGCCCUUAACAAGGGACAAUGUAAGGGUAAGCUUCGAAGUGUUCAAAGUUUGUUAGGAAACAUUUAUAAAUUAAACCGCAUAUAAAGUCAUUAAUUGUCUAUCUUGCGAGACCAUUUUAAGAUGAGUACAUUUAAGGAAAAAUCAUUCAAAACGUCACUUACAUUUUAUCAAAUAAAAUUUUUCAUUAUUCACUUUUAAAAUGAUAACUUGACGUUUCUUACAAAAUCAAAUUGAUAAAUUUUUGUUCCAACCUAGAUUUUUGAUUAUUUUUUACGUUGAAUCCAUCAUGUAACUGACACAUAUUUAUUUUUUUUAAGGGCAAAAAGAUUAUAUGUCAUUUAUAGUUAAACCAACAAUUCAAUCCAUAUUCAUUUAAAAAAAGGAUCUAAGCUGAAUCAUAUUUAUUUUUUUCCCAAAAGAAGUAGCAUAUGAUCCAAUCCACAUUUAUUUUUGUAACUAAAAAAAGUGAGAUUUGACCUUUUUUUUUACGUAAAAAAUAAUUGUAUACGAGUCACAUGGUGAUUUCAAACUAAAAAGUAAUUGAAAAUUUAGGUUGAGACCUAAUUUUAGUAAUUUGAAUUUGUAAGGAACGUAAAGUUAACGUUUUAAAAGUAAAGAACCAAAAAAUUCAUUUAACAAAAUAUGAGAAAUAUUUUGAAUAAUUUUCCCUACAUUUGAUCAUUACUUAUCCAAAAGUUUUUUUGUGUUCUCAAAAGAUAAGCCCUUUUUUUUUUUUUUUUUGUGGACAUAGUAAUCAGGCUUAAUCUCGUUUGGAAUUCCUACUACCAACUUAAAAUGCUCAAAGAAAUUAGAAGCAGGACAUUUUAUUUGAUGUAGUUUAGUUACAACAGAAUACGUUGGUUUUGAUCGUUAUUUUAUUUUGGAGUGAUUGCUUGGAUUGUUACCUUAAAAUGAAGGGGAAGAUGGGAAAAAAGGUUCGAGAAACGAAAAACUGCACCUUUGGAUCCUUCGCAAAUGACAUUUACUUGCUCAGUGUCUGAUGAUGACUUAGCUUCAAAAUCAGUUCGCCGGAUUCUUCUUUCAGAUAAGGUGCAGGAUCAGGAUGGUGCGCGAGGAGGACGAAUACGAAUAUGGCUACUGCUAUCAAUCCAACUUUCAUCGGGUUUAAAGUAGUCAUUGAAUUACAAUUAAUUAUUGAUACAGUAGCUAUUUUGCGUAAGUGAAACAUUGAAGAACGUAAUACAAAGCCCCAGCUAAGCCAUGAAAGGAGGAAGGACGAUAACUUGGAAUGUAAGGAUUACAAGGAAAGAAAACAGUCAUCAUCUCCAUUUUAUUUUUCCAAAGUGCUGAUUUUCUGGAGCAGAGGAGAGACAAUCCAGGGCACUCUGAGCAUCGUCGCCGGCGCUCUCAAAAAUCUGUCAGGCAUUCCAGUGCCGCUCCAGCGCUUUGCCACCACGUUCUUGAAAAAGUCACCGGUCUUGGCACUGACCGCUAUAUGUCACUGUCCUCCGAACGAAGGGAAGGUUCAGUGGAAGGAAGAACUUGAAAGUAGUCGAGGAGAAGGCUUUGGUCUAAUGACUAAAAUUGAAAGUUAAAAACUUACAAAUCAAAUCCCCUUUCUCCAUCCUUAGCUUCUUAAAUCUCAUUUCCCACUGCUUAGAAAAAAAGAAAAAGAAAAAGAAAAGAAAGAAACACUUGAAAGCCAUCGUCUCUUCUCGUCUUGUCUAGUGCUAAACUGCUAAUGCCAAAAGAAGAAAGCUAAUUAGACGACUGGAGCAAAUAGAACCUCGUUGUGUGCCGAAACAGAAAUACAGAAAUACAGAGUCAUAUACAUUAUUAUUAUUGACUUGCGUGGUAGGAAGGAGUACUAGAUAGAUAGAAUGGUGGCCUUUGUCUGGUUUUUUUACCAGGAGGUUACUUUUAAGGAGAGAUUUGGUAGAAAGAAGCGCUUUUCCCCACCUUUCAUCCGACUUGAAUGAGUUACCAUUCUUACCCGUAAGAGGUUGCUGAAUAGCGUAAUUACACACUCUGAUUUUUAGGCUAGACCCAUCCUUUGUUUUAUUUUAUCGACUGACAAUAUGCCCUCUAGGACGCCUGUGAGGAUCGGAUCUUCUGCAGUCACAGUUGUGAUUGGAAACAACAGUUUAUGUUGUGGAUCGCGUCAUUUUGAAAUGGAUGGCUGUGAUUUAAUUUAUUUAUGAAUACAAAAUCAACAAUAGUUGUUGUGGUUUUGCAUGUUGUUGUUCUAAUAUCUAGAGGUUAGUUAGUUUAGUGUCCAUAUUUAUCGUAUGACAACAACCGCAGAAACCCUUGAUCCUGUGUAGUAGACCGAGCAGAACGAACCAUUGAACGGGAAAGAUCCGAAAAGCUGAAAAUACGAGUAUGUCAGCAGUGAAUUUUGACCUCCCUGUCUCAGAAUCAGAGCAAACUAGGGGGAAAAAAAAAAGCAGCACCCACGUUAAGCCUGAAGUCAGGCAAGAUUGCCAUCGUUGCAGAUGAGGUCCAACCAAUUAAAGCAGCAAAAGAAAGCUUGCAAAUUAGAUAGCAGAUUCAUUUGAGCUCUAUAGUUCCUCGAUGUGUAUUCAACAUGGUGCGACUUUCAAAAUGCGUUCUAUACAACAGGGAGCAUAUGAUCAUAAUUAACGUGCCGAGAAACUUCAGCUACAGUAGGCAAAUAAAAUGACAAAAAGGAAAAAGAAAAGACAAAAGGGAAAGAAAAUCUUUAAGACUUCUAGUUUCUAGUACAACAGUAACCAUGAAUAUUUACACUCUCAUCCAACAUGUAGAGAAUGACCACCAAACAGGGGGAAAACUGAUAAUGCUUCUCUACAAGGGAUGAAAGAAGGCACCAAUUUCCAUCCCUUCAAUUAAAAAGAGUUAAACUGAAUUUUUCCAUUUCGAAUAAUCUCACCACACAAAGCAUGACAUGUUAAAACAACAGCUU
rnacentral:lncRNA from 1 species